UACCAAGCUUGGUUUGUACAAAAGCAAGGU
rnacentral:piRNA from 1 species